rnacentral:rRNA from 1 species
AUUGAACGCUGGCGGAAUGCUUACACAUGCAAGUCGAACGGCAGCACGGGUGCUUGCACCUGGUGGCGAGUGGCGAACGGGUGAGUAACAUAUCGGAACGUAUCCAAUAAUGGGGGAUAACUAAUCGAAAGGUUGGCUAAUACCGCAUACGCCCUACGGGGGAAAGCUAGGGACCUUCGGGCCUGGCGUUAAUGGAGCGGCCGAUAUCUGAUUAGCUAGUUGGUGGGGUAAUGGCCUACCAAGGCGACGAUCAGUAGCUGGUCUAAGAGGACGACCAGCCACACUGGAACUGAGACACGGUCCAGACUCCUACGGGAGGCAGCAGUGGGGAAUUUUGGACAAUGGGCGCAAGCCUGAUCCAGCCAUUCCGCGUGAGUGAAGAAGGCCUUCGGGUUGUAAAGCUCUUUCGCAAGGGAAGAAAACUUAUCCUCUAACAUAGAAUGAGGUUGACGGUACCUUGAUAAGAAGCACCGGCUAACUACGUGCCAGCCGCCGCCGUAAUAC